GUCGCCGUGGCGGAACUGGCAGACGCGGAUGGUUGCCAACCAUCGGGGCCGAAAGGCUCGUGCGGGUUCGAAUCCCGUCGGCGACA
rnacentral:tRNA from 1 species